rnacentral:rRNA from 1 species
UACAGAGGUCUCAAGCGUUGUUCGGAUUCAUUGGGCGUAAAGGGUGCGUAUGUGGCUUUUUAAGCUGAAGGUGAAAUCUCGGGGCUCAACUCCGAAACUGCCUUCAAUACUGGCGAGCUCGAGGACUGUAGAGGAGAAUGGAAUUCACGGUGUAGCAGUGAAAUGCGUAGAUAUCGUGAGGAAGACCAGUGGCGAAAGCGAUUCUCUGGGCAGUUCCUGACACUGAGGCACGAAGGCCAGGGGAGCAAAUAGG